GCUUAAAGACUCGUACAUUGUGCAUUUGUGCUCUUGGGAUCCCAGAAGAUAUUAGUUCUCAAAUUACCAACACCGAACUGUAAGACACCUAGUCAUGACCUGCAACCUCACAUUGUGCUUGUUACUAUCAGCCACACUACUUAAUCAACCUUGUGCUUUGGAGGAGGUAGCUUAUGAAUCAGAGGCUUCAGAGCUAGAGGUUUUGACUCGGGAGCUGUUGAAAUCAGCGAGAGAGCCUGAGUUCUUUGAAUGGAUGAUAGGGCUGAGGAGGAGGAUUCAUGAGUACCCAGAGCUGGGAUUUGAAGAGCACAAGACCAGUGAGCUCAUCAGGGCUGAGCUUGACUUUCUAGGGAUUGAUUACAAAUGGCCUGUGGCCAAGACCGGAGUGGUGGCCUUUAUUGGGUCUGGCUCUAAACCAGUGUUUGGACUAAGAGCUGACAUGGAUGCUCUCCCUGUCCAGGAAUUAAUAGAGUGGGAACACAAGAGCAAGAUUGAUGGAAAGAUGCACGCUUGCGGUCACGAUUCUCAUGUAGCAAUGCUACUUGGCUCAACCAAGUUGCUUCAACAGAAAAGAGACGUGUUGAAGGUAGAUCUUAAACUAGUGUUUCAGCCUGGAGAAGAGGGUAAUGCUGGUGCUUACCAUAUGUAAAAGAUGAUGUCUUGCAUGAUAUCGAUGCAAUCUUGAGUAUACAUGUGUUUCCAUUAGCACCUACUGGUGCCAUAGCUUCGAGGCCUGGUCCAGUGUUUGCUGGUGUAGGGCUCUUUACAGCUACGAUAUAAGGGAGAGGAGGGCAUGGAGCAGCUCCACAUGAGACUAGGGACCCUAUGAUUGCAGCAGCCUUUUCAACCAUUGCUCUCCAACAAAUCGUGUCUCGGGAGACCGAUCCUCUUGAAUCCAGAGUGGUAACUGUUGGGCACAUAAAUGGAGGUCAAGCAGGAAAUGUUAUCCCAGAGACUGUGAAACUAGGCCGAACUUUUAGGAGCUUUAGUUCUGAGGGUCUUUCCCAUCCCAAACAAAGGAUCAAAGAGAUCAUAGAGCAGCAAGUAGCUGUGCAUCGUUGUACUGCGGUGGUGGACUUCAUGGAGGAAAAACCGAUGCCUAAUCCAGCAAUGUUUAAUGAUGAAGCACUGUACGAACACGUAAAGAAAGUUGGUGAGGUCCUUCUUGGGAAACCUAAUGUGCAGCUUAUGCCAAUUGUCAUGGGUUCGGAGGAUUUUAGCUUCUUUGCGGAGAGGAUUCCUGCUGCAAUAUUUGUUCUUGGGACAAGGAAUGAGACUCUGAAAGCAGACAAGCACCUGCACUCGCCCAGGUUUUUUAUCAACGAGGAGGCUCUUCCAAUAGGAGCAGCACUCAAUGCAGCAGUUACAAUUUCUUACUUGGAUGACAAUGAUGUGAUGACUUGCUGCACAGUUCUUGAAAGGGACAGAACAGCUUUCUCAGACACGUGUAGAACAUCUGAAUUCUGA